GACGAACGCUGGCGGCGUGCUUAACACAUGCAAGUCGAGCGGUAAGGCCCUUUCGGGGGGUACACGAGCGGCGAACGGGUGAGUAACACGUGGGUGACCUGCCCUCAGCUCUGGGAUAAGCCUGGGAAACCGGGUCUAAUACCGGAUAUGACUCCAUGACGCAUGUUGUGGGGUGGAAAGCCUUGUGCGGCUGAGGAUGGGCCCGCGGCCUAUCAGCUUGUUGGUGGGGUGANGGCCUACCAAGGCGACGACGGGUAGCCGGCCUGAGAGGGCGACCGGCCACACUGGGACUGAGACACGGCCCAGACUCCUACGGGAGGCAGCAGUGGGGAAUCUUGCGCAAGUGGGACGAAAGCCUGACGCAGCGACGCCGCGUGAGGGAUGACGGCC
rnacentral:rRNA from 1 species